GAGUGAUCCAAGAGACAGGCUGGAAAGAGAAAAGCACUUUACCUUUCCAGCCACCUUUCCACAUGAGUCCAUCUUAGCCUUUCAUUCAAAAUGGAUCAAUCCCACCUUCCAUUCAGUCAAGGCACUACCACAAUUUCCAGCUAGCAUCAAGACCAGUCUACUCUCAUCCUAGCCAUCCAUUCUAUCAUUUAUUUACAACCUUAGGAUGUAGGGUUUAUGAGUGUAAUGUAAAGGCAUAUAAAAGCCUUGUAUAUGUGAUUGUAAACACUUAAGUGAGUAAGGGGGUUUCCCUUCUCCUUCUCUAAUCUGAAACAC
rnacentral:lncRNA from 1 species